AAGCAAAGUUUCAUUGAGUGUACAUCUUACUAUGUUAUACAAAGACCAUCUUUACUUGGUCAGUUGCUACCUCACAGAAAUGUAGAUAUUUCCCAGUGAAAAGAAUGUCACCUUUUUGCUGUUACCCAGAAGCUUGUGGAGUUAAGCCACAGGUCCAAAAAUUUUUUAAUAAACCGUAGUAUUAUUUCCCUUGCUUUAAGUUAAUCCUGUUAUCUUUCCUUAUAAAUUAGCCAGCUUUGUGUCUCUGUUUUAACUUCCCAGAAGAUGCAAAGACAUGAAAUGUUUUCCCUCUUUCAUGUACCAGUGAAGAGGACUUGACAAUAAAUUAGUGUCAUUUGGAAAGAGCUGUUUUUGAAAUCACUUUGAG
rnacentral:lncRNA from 1 species